AAUGGGUCAGCGACUUAUAUUCUGUAGCAAGGUUAACCGAAUAGGGGAGCCGAAGGGAAACCGAGUCUUAACUGGGCGUUAAGUUGCAGGGUAUAGACCCGAAACCCGGUGAUCUAGCCAUGGGCAGGUUGAAGGUUGGGUAACACUAACUGGAGGACCGAACCGACUAAUGUUGAAAAAUUAGCGGAUGACUUGUGGCUGGGGGUGAAAGGCCAAUCAAACCGGGAGAUAGCUGGUUCUCCCCGAAAGCUAUUUAGGUAGCGCCUCGUGAAUUCAUCUCCGGGGGUAGAGCACUGUUUCGGCAAGGGGGUCAUCCCGA
rnacentral:rRNA from 1 species